rnacentral:rRNA from 1 species
CCGCCAGAACAUUACAAGUGAAAAACUUAAAACUCAAAGGACUUGGCGGUGUCCCAACCGACCUAGAGGAGCCUGUCCUAUAAUCGAUACCCCCCGUUUUACCCAACCUCUACUAGCAUCCCUCAGCCUAUAUACCGCCGUCGACAGUCUACCCCAUGAGGGCCCAAAAGUAGACAAAAUAAUUUACCCACUAGAACGUCAGGUCAAGGUGUAGCAAAUGUUGAGGAAGCGAUUGGCUACAUUUUUUAUAAUAAAAAAUACGAAAUACAGCAUGAAACCCUGUAUGAAGGUGAAUUUAGUAGUAAAAU